GUGCUCACUUCGGCAGCACAUGUACUAAAAUUGGAACGAUACAGAGAAGGUUAGCAUGGCCCUUGUGCAAGGAUGCCGUGCAAAUUCAUGAAGCAUUCCAUAUUUUU
rnacentral:snRNA from 1 species